rnacentral:rRNA from 1 species
GAUGAACGCUGGCGGCGUGCCUAAUACAUGCAAGUCGAGCGAACGGACGAGAAGCUUGCUUCUCUGAUGUUAGCGGCGGACGGGUGAGUAACACGUGGAUAACCUACCUAUAAGACUGGGAUAACUUCGGGAAACCGUAGCUAAUACCGGAUAAUAUUUUGAACCGCUUGGUUCAAUAGUGUAAGACGGUCUUGCUGUCUCUUAUAGAUGGAUCCGCGCUUCUUUAGCUAGUUGGUAAGGUAACGGCUUACCAAGGCAACGAUGCAUAGCCGACCUGAGAGGGUGAUCGGCCACACUGGAACUGAGACACGGUCCAGACUCCUACGGGAGGCAGCAGUAGGGAAUCUUCCGCAAUGGGCGAAAGCCUGACGGAGCAACGCCGCGUGAGUGAUGAAGGUCUUCGGAUCGUAAAACUCUGUUAGUAGGGAAGAACAUAUGUGUAAGUAACUGUGCACAUCUUGACGGUAACUAAUCAGAAAGCCACGGCUAACUACGUG